UAAAGUAAUAUUAACUCAAGCGAAUUCGUAAACAUUCGCGUGUACGCGGAUCGCGCGGUAUAUUAUAAGCUGUCUGCUACAGUUUCGCUAAAAUAACAUAACGCAGUAUUAUAUUAUACCUACCUACGUUGAGUUAAAAUCGUUUGACGUAAUAUAUAUAUAUAAUAUGGAGACCUAACCAACCGCAAUUAGUUUCGUAUUUCCGUAGUUUAAAACUUAUUGAUUAUUUCCGUAAAAAAAACAUUAAGGAAAUGUAGUAGAGGGGAAAUUUUAUGUAGGUUUGUCUGUAAGCAACAAUUGAAGGAUUCUGAGCGGAGUUCAGUUGAUAGUGUUGCUUUGUCAACGAUAUAUAUGUGUCAUUAUACGGUGAAAUAAGUACAUAGGCGUAGUAAUG